rnacentral:pre_miRNA from 1 species
UCAGCUUUCUGUCUGUCUGUCUGUCUGUCUGACUGACCGACCAAGUGCUGAAU